AGUGAACGCUGGCGGUAGGCCUAACACAUGCAAGUCGAACGGCAGCACAGUAAGAGCUUGCUCUUACGGGUGGCGAGUGGCGGACGGGUGAGGAAUACAUCGGAAUCUACUUUUUCGUGGGGGAUAACGUAGGGAAACUUACGCUAAUACCGCAUACGACCUACCGGUGAAAGCAGGGGAUCUUCGGACCUUGCGCGAUUGAAUGAGCCGAUGUCGGAUUAGCUAGUUGGCGGGGUAAAGGCCCACCAAGGCGACGAUCCGUAGCCGGUCUGAGAGGAUGAUCAGCCACACUGGAGCUGAGACACGGUCCAGACUCCUACGGGAGGCAGCAGUGGGGAAUAUUGGACAAUGGGCGCAAGCCUGAUCCAGCCAUACCGCGUGGGUGAAGAAGGCCUUCGGGUUGUAAAGCCCUUUUGUUGGGAAAGAAAAGCAGCAGGUUAAUACCCCGCUGUUCUGACGGUACCCAAAGAAUAAGCACCGGCUAACUUCGUG
rnacentral:rRNA from 1 species